rnacentral:rRNA from 1 species
UACGUAGGGUGCGAGCGUUGUCCGGAAUUACUGGGCGUAAAGGGCUUGUAGGUGGUUUGUCGCGUUGUUCGUGAAAACCGGGGGCUUAACUCUCGGCGUGCGGGCGAUACGGGCAGACUAGAGUACUGCAGGGGAGACUGGAAUUCCUGGUGUAGCGGUGGAAUGCGCAGAUAUCAGGAGGAACACCGGUGGCGAAGGCGGGUCUCUGGGCAGUAACUGACGCUGAGGAGCGAAAGCGUGGGGAGCGAACAGG